GGAAAGAGAUACAUAGUUGGCUUACAAUCGCCACUUCACACAAUUACAUGAAUAAAGCAUUACAUCAUCCAGAUACAAUCAAGGUCCGACUACGGAACCAAAAUAAAAGAAGAACCCCAAAUGCGACAAAGGUCCUCGAUCGACCCCAACUGGGCUCCACUACUGAUCAACUAGAACGAAACAACACAAAGGGCAAGAUCUUCAUCGAGCUCCUCCUUGAGCUUGGUUGCGUCACCUGCUCGGUAACAUAGGCACCUGCAAACUGGUUUUGGAAGUAUCUGUGAGCCACGGGGACUCAGCAAUCUCGCACCCGCGAGAUCAAGACUAUUUAAGCUUAUAGGAAGGAUGGAGUAAUGAGGUGGAGCUGCAGCAAGCGACUAGCAUAUAUGGUGGCUAACAUACGCAAAUGAGAGCGAGAAGAGAAGGCAAAGCACGGUCGAUAAAAGUAUGAUCAAGAAGUGAUCCUAUAGCAACCUACGUCAAACAUAACUCCAACACCGUGUUCACUUCCCGGACUCCGCCGGAAAGAGACCAUCACGGUUACACACGCGGUUGAUGUAUUUUAAAUAAGGUCAACUUCGGGUUUUCUACAACCGGACGUUAACAAAUUCCCAUCCGCCCAUAACCGCGGGCACGGCUUUCGAAAGUUCAAAUCCCUGCAGGGGUGUCCCAACUUAGCCCAUGACAAGCUCUCACGGUCAACGAAGGAAUAGACCUCCACCCGAGACGUUCCGAUCAGACUCGGUAUCCCGGUACAACAAGACAUUUCGACAGGGUAAAACUAAACCAGCAACACCGCCCGAAUGUGCCGACAAAUCCCGAUAGGAGCUGCACAUAUCUCUUUCUCAGGGCACACUCAGAUGAGCAAUCCGUACAACUAAAACCAAACCUCGAGUUUCCCCGAGGGGGCGCUGCACAGGGCUCUAGUUCGGACCAACACUCAGAGGAGCACUGGCCCGGGGGGGUUAGAAUAAAGAUGACCCUUGAGUCUGCAGAACCCAAGGGAAGGUGGUAGGUUGUUAGUGCAAAUGGUAAAACCAAUGUUGGGCAUUGCUGGAAGAGCUUUACUUAAGGCGAACUGUCAAGGGGUUCCCAUUAUAGCCCAACCGUGUAAGGAACGCAAAAUCCGGGAACAUAACACCGAUAUGACGGAAACUAGGGCGGCGAGAGUGGAACAAAACACCAGGCAUAAGGCCGAGCCUUCCACCCUUUACCAAGUAUAUAGAUGCAUUAAUUAAAUAAGAUAUAUUGUGAUAUCCCAACAAGUAAACAUGUUCCAACAAGGAACAACAUCUCCAUGUUCCAACAAGGAACAAACUUCAAUCUUCACCUGCAACUAACAACGCUAUAAGAGGGGCUAAGCAAAGCGGUAACAUAGCCAAUCAACGGUUUGCUAGGACAUGGUGGGUUAGAGGUUUGACAUGGCAAUUUGGGAGGCUGACAAGCAAAUGGUAGGCAUCGUAGCAUUGGCAUAGCAAGAGCGAGCAAACUAGCAUAGCAAAGAUAGUAGUGAUUUCGAGGGUAUGAUCAUCUUGCCUGAGAUCCCGCAAGGAAGAAGAACGAGUCCAUGAAGAAGACAAACGGACGUAGACGAACGAAUCCUCACAACUCCGGAACGAAACCGAAGCUAACGAGAGAAGCAACCCGGAAAGAAAACAAACAACAUAGUAAACAAACAUCACAUAAACAAGUCAUGAAGCACAAUCAAGUAUGAUGCAUGUCCGGUUUAAUGAGGCAUGGCAUGGCAAAGUGCACAAACAAUCCUACAAAUUAAAUGGAGUUCAAUAUGCAACGAGGUGCAUGUUGACGGAACACCACAUCAAUUAUUUAGUUAUCUCUCGUUUAAGCUACCCAACAAUAUUAACUGUUGUUAAACAUGGCAAGAGGUGAAGCAUAAUAUAAACUAUACCAUCUAAACAAUUUAAAUGGGGCCGAAUAUAAAAACAACAAAUCUGGUAAAUCCCCAUAUGCAUUUAGCAAUUUAAUGCAACAACAAGUUUAAACAUUUUAAAUGUUGUCAUCAUGAUGCGGAUGACAUAUACAAGUUUUAUGCAAUUUUAUGAAAAUGUUGACAUGAGCAUGUUAAGAAGCAUUAGUCGCCAUGGCGGAAGGAAAAAGGUACCACGGCGGCGAAACAAAAUGGUGCCACGGCAACAUAUCCGAAAAUGAUGCCACGGCAUCAUAUCGGUUCCGGUAGCUCAUGGAGGUACCGGUGCAAAAGGAAGUGUGACGUGAGCAAGUCAUGCAAGAUGGUGGGGUGAUCCCGGCUUCCGGGUUCCCACGGGACGGUGGCACAGCAAAAGAGGGGCAUCGCAAGGACGAUUCGAUCACGGUGCAAAACUCGAGCAUCUCAUUCAACACAUGCAUUCGGUCCACGGCGGUCGUUCUCGGCGGUAUACCUUCGAAGCGUGCAAUCGGGGCGGAACGCGUUCGAAGCGGUGUAGAGGAAGUAGGCGUUCACGGGACAUCGUGGAAGUAGUUGUUCGCGGGUCGUCGUGGGAAGUAGUCGUACACGACGUAGUGGAAGUCGUUGUACACGGCGACGGUAGUUGUACACGUUCGUUUCGUAGAUGUCCAGGGUCGUCGGUAGAGGUACACGUUUCGGAGAGGAACUUGUCGUAUCCAUGUAGUCGUUCAUGUGUGACCGUGGUGUAGUCGUACAUGUCGGCGAUAGUGGAACUUGGCGGUCUCGACGGUCAUCGGGGUACUUGGCGCUUGCGGUCCAACUCCGAGGUCAUAGCCGUGUAGUCGAACUUGACGAAAACAGGUCUCGCUGGGGACUUGGCGCAUCCAUCAGGAACUUGGUGGUGGUCUCCUCGGGUCAACAGUGAUGUGCAAGGGAUAGAACGCCCGGGCCUUGGGCUGCUCAAGGCCAUGGAGAUGACAUGCAGCAGGAGGCUGCUAGUGGAGGCAGAGCCACGACGAGGAGGUCCUGCUCCGGCAGCUGCAAGUGGUGGAUGGACGCAGGCAGCGGAAAGGCUCGGGCGUGAGGGAGAAGGAGCCGGCGCGAGGUGGGUGAUGGAGGAGAGCAUCUCACGCGCAGGGAAGGAGGUUGAGGCUGGUGCGCUGGAGAGGAAGCAGGAGCAGAGGGGCGGCGGAGCUUGACGGAUCCAGGCGAGGGCACCGGUGGUCGCGGACGGGCGAAGCGAUGACGAGGAGGUCGGGGAAGGUCCGGGCGCGGCGUCGGCGAGAGGGUGCAGCAGCAGAAGCUGCUGCCGGCGGCGAGGCCGAGGCAGUGCGGUUCCAGGGGCGGCGAGGAGGAGGGAGGCGAGGCCGUGGCGCUCGGCACGAGGGUGCAGCAGCUGCUGCUGUCGGCGGCGAGGUCGAGGAGGGGCACGUGGCCGCCGGAGUUGAGGACGCGGGGCGGCGUCGGGCGCGCAGGGCGAGGAGGAAGACAGGGCGCGGGGGCGGCGUCUCCCUGGUUCGGCGCGACGAGGAAGAAAAGAGGAGGGGGAUCGAGGGAGAGAGAUGAGUGCGGCGGCCAGAGGAAGAGAUGGGGAUCGAUGGGAGGGAGAGUGGUUCGGGCUAGGGUUACGGGGAAAGGUGGGGGCGGCUGGGCCUUGGCCUUGGGCCGGCGCGGGAGGAUGGGAGGCCCAGGCUGCUGGGCUCCUUCUCUCUCUCUCUUUAAAUUUUCUUUAGCAGAAAACAAUUAAAGAGAAGAAAAAGAAAGAGAGGGUUAGGGAAAGGAUUUGCGCAUGGAGAUAAUUUUCCCGGACUCACAAAAAUGAGCUCGAUCCAGGAAAAAUAGAAGUGGGCAUGAUCGAAAGAUUAAAUUCAAACUCAUUUGAAUUUAAUUCAAAUGGGUUUGAACUAGGACUUGGAUUUAGAAGAGUCCAAAAAUGUUGAGAAUUUAGGAGGAGCCUCGAUAAAUGGGAAAAGAAAUGUUGGCAAAGUUUGGGGACCAAACUUGAAGUAGAAAGGGAGUGGGGAUUUUUCAAGUGUGUUUUGGUUAAUUCCAAAAGAAUGGAAUAUUUAAUAUAGCUCCCUAAUAUUGGAGGAUAUGUUAUAAAGAGAAGUCACCAUGUGAGUCCCUCGAUUUAAAUGGAUCGAAAAAAUCCAUACAAAUUAUUUAGUUGAGGUUUUAAAAAAUUAAUGAUAUGAUGGCAUGAUGACAUGAUGCAAUGCACAUGAUGCAAGGAUGAAUGCAACAAAUAAAACAAAUCACACGACGAAACUCGGAAUAGCUGGAAGUCUUCUGGAGCGUUGGUCUCGGGGCGUUACAACACUCCACCACUACGAGAGGAUCUCGUCCCGAGAUCUAGAAUGGCACCGGAGGGAAAACAGAAGAGAAAGAGAAGAGGUAAAACUAAGUUGCUUCUUUGACCAAUGAGUGAAACCAAAGAACCUUGAGAGGUUGAGCAAUUUAAUAGAAAGAGCACAACUGAGAAGAACGAGAUUGCAAACAAUCCGUUAGAAAAAAAAGGAACAAGGAACAUUACGAGAACUUGAAGGUUGCAAAGACAUGAAUCAAGAGUUUAAUGGACAAGAUAGAAUUCGAAACCACUCCAGUUAAAACAAGAUGAGAGGGGAAGAAUUUGGGCAGUACUCCGGUUGAACAUGGAAGGAAUAGAACAUGAACUUGAGAAGAUGGAAUGUUACUUGAUGAAAUCAACAACACACUGCCUCCGGAACUAUUGAAAGAAUGGCACAAUGGGUAAGAAGGAUUUCAGACAGCUCUCCAGUUGAGGAAGGAGGGAAAACUUGAUAAGAUUAGAGAACUCGAAUGAAAACACGACACUCCGGUUAAAUGGAUAAGCAAGAAAAGAACACGAUCCUCACGAAUCGAGAUGGUGAGUGAAAAGAGCAACGUCACAAUGCCUCCGGAAGAAAGAAUAGAAGAUAAAUCAUUGGAAUAACAGAAUGGAGAAGAAAAUGCCAACUUCUGCCACAAAAGAGUUUGGAAAGCAUCCUUGCAAAGAAGAAUUGAACGGAGUUGUUGGAAAAUCAACAACGAAAAGCACAAGCUUGUAGUGGGCUUAUGGAAAACAUCUCAAAAUUAUGAGGUGACAACCGGCCACUAACGGAAAAAAUUGCUUGCUUGAGAUCAACGAAGAGAUGAAAACUUCUUCCACCAAGAUGAUAAAGAGAUAACUUGGAUCAUUGGCAAGCACCACAAAUAACAACCAUCCUUAGGGAAGGCUUAAGGUGAAAUAUGACACAAGAUAACUCCAACGAAGAGAUAUGGAUUUAAAAAAUAACUCAUUCUUAACAACAUGUUAAUCAUGGAACAUGAACUCAAACUAUCGAGAAUGACAUAAUACCACCUCCGAUAAUAUGGUAGAAAGAAAUUGCACUCCGGAUUACAAUAUGAAGAAAGCUUGAGCUCCCUAGCAAUGAAUCUUGAUGAAAACUUUGAGAAGGGAAUUAAAUCCUUGAUGAACCAUCAUGUAGAACCUCCAUGAAGAACUCCGGUAAACAAAAGGAAUGAAAAGAAAGAGAAAUUGAAAACACAAGGUGAAUCCUUGCAAUGAUUUAGAUGGAUCUCCGUGAUAAUUAGAGCUUGGAACUCCGGGAAAAAGAGAAGAUGAAACAAAUGAAACCGAGAAUUUUAAGGGCCUCCGGAAUAAAGAAUUAAUCACUUGGAUGAACAAGAAUAAGAAUUAAGUUAUGCUUAUCCUUCACCAAUUAAAUUGACGACAAUCAACGGAUUUGGCAUACUACUUAUUCUCGUAGAAAGGAUUAAAAGAGAUAUAGCGUAAACUUGAGAAGGUCUUCAACGAACCACCGGUAGGAUUGGAACAACAAAUGAAUUGAUAUGAUGAACAAGGAAGAGAGAUCUUGAAAGAACCACCGUAAGAAUUGAAAAUGAUCGAAGUAGGGGUGCAUCACCGGUAAGAAUUAGCAAAUGAACGAAGGUGCUUGAGACAAACUAGAUACAUGAGAACAAAGAGAUCAAGAACUGAUUAGAGGAUAUUUGAUAGAUGCACCGGCAAGAUAGGAGAAUGAUAACUGACGGCUGAGAAUGAAUAAACCUGAAUUGAUGGACUCCGGAUGACAAACUGAGAAGAAUCUUGAAUAUCUCCUGAUGGGUGAAAAAGAUUCUCACAAUCGAAAACAAUUAUGAGAGGAUGGCAACAAGCUAGCACCAUGAAUCUUGAAGAGAAUAGAGCAAGACUAAAGAGAAACUCUUCUUCGGUCUUCAAAUGAUGAGAAUGACAACGAGAAACACCACCAAGAAUUAUUGAGGCACACCGGAAGAAUCAACAGCGAAGAGGUUGAGCCAACUAUGAAAAGAAUUUGAAAGAUCUUGGAGAAAAGCAUUUGACUAAUGAUAACUCAUUCUUACGUCGAACUUGGAGAAGAAUUUAGGAUAGCUCUGGGAAAAUAGAAGAGUCAGGUAAGAUCCUGGGAAAAGACCUGUGGGUUAGGGCCCACUCAAAAGAACACCGUUGAAAAGAUUUAAAAGAGAUGUUGCACCGGUUUAAUUAAAUGACUUGAAUGAGAUACCAAUCUCGAAAGAGCUUGAACGAAUGCAGAGUGGAAACACGAAUCUUCGAGAUAUCUUGAGCACUCCGGAACAAUUUAAUAGCGGGAGAUGGAUGAUUAAGAGGUGCACCGGCAUAAGAAAAGCAUUGGAAAAAAAAGGAGUAUGCUUAAUACCAAAGCUUGAAUUAAAUCCACCGGAGAAGAAAAGAACGAGGAAUGACGAACUAGUAGAACAUCUUCUUGAGAACCACCGGGUAAGAACAUUGACGGAAAAGAAUGGAGAAACUUCCCAUCAAUAAAAUGGAUACUUGAAGAAGAAAUCUUAGUCCUUGAAGAAAAACAAAAGGGAGGGAGGGUGGGGAAAACAAAGGCAACUUGGAGACGGAUGAAACAAACACCGUUGAGAAGAAAUGAUAACUGGUCUUGCUGAUGUUGAAGUGAUCAGAUCCACUUGAAGAGAAACACGCCGGUUGAAAAGGAUUGACAUGACAAUCUCGAUUGUCGAGAAGGAUUGGUAUUCACAUCGGAGUAUGAGAACACCAUUUCGGAAAGGUAUGGAAUCAACACUUGACUUCGAAGCAACUCGAAUACCACAACUCAAAACAAAACAAAGGAUUGGCUUGCAGAAUAAGCCAGAACAAACAUAUGAUAGAGAUUUCGUCCGAAGUUUUCGUGGUGGGGCCUACACGGGCUCGAUCGUACAGCACCAUCAUGUACAAGGCAGUGCACAUGACAUACGAAGCGUCCCCGAGUCGGCAUAGCCAAGGACUCUUUAAGACACAACGAGACCAUUGUAAAACCAACCGUGAAUAGGCGGACCACUAGACGUCGAACCCCAAUUUCAUAUCAUACAUCCGUCGGAAAGAUAUCCUAAGAGCUACUUGAAUUCCCACCUAUGAAACUCCCGAAAUUUUUAGGUUAUGCAAUCAGGUGUUGGGGAUACAGGGGAAGCAUAAUAUCUCACCCAAAACUAACAAAUCCUACAUCCAAUUGUAUCCAUCCUUCAACACAUAACCAAGAAACCUUCGGAAAUCGUCUACCUCAACCUUCGAAAAGCAUCCGUUAUACAAGUCAUGGCAAUACUCCCGUACUCACCUCAGUACUGGGUUAACGGGGUUAUCUCACCAACAACUGCAUAAAAGAGAUUUUCGAUGUCGGCGUACUAAACUCAGGUAUUCCAGAACUGCAAUGAUAAAAUUAUGACGACAACACCUCAGAGCUCAACUCCCCGGGACACUUCCACUAAACCCCUGACAGGAGGCACCAAGACAAUGUUCUCAUCAUAAAACCAUCGGAACGAUUCCAAGAUACCCGCGUGAUCCUAAAAAAAAUUUUUUAGUGAAAUUUGAGAAGAGAAGAGUCAAAACUCUACGUCAGGAUGCCUUACCAGAGCGAUGAAGAGACUGGGAAGUAAAAAGAAUUCCUAACUCUCCGAUAUAUAUAAUCCUAAAUGACUCAAAAUAUUUUUCUAGACACAACUCGGCCGCUAAAAACGAUCAAGCAAUGGGGCUCCUAAGGUCGGGGAAGGCUCUGAUUACCAACUUGUAACGCCCUCGAUGCGGCUAUAUCUCCCACGUGUCGAAGCACGACUUAGAGGCAUAACCGCAUUGAAAGCAAUGUCGCAAGUGAGGUAAUCUUCACACAACCCAUGUAAUACAUAUGGGAAAGAGAUACAUAGUUGGCUUACAAUUGCCACUUCACACAAUUACAUGAAUAAAGCAUUACAUCAUCCAGAUACAAUCAAGGUCCGACUACGGAACCAAAAUAAAAGAAGAACCCCAAAUGCGACAAAGGUCCCCGAUCGACCCCAACUGGGCUCCACUACUGAUCAACUAGAACGAAACAACACAAAGGGCAAGAUCUUCAUCGAGCUCCUCCUUGAGCUUGGUUGCGUCACCUGCUCGGUAACAUAGGCACCUGCAAACUGGUUUUGGAAGUAUCUG
rnacentral:lncRNA from 1 species